GGUAAAUCCGUCGUACAUGUGGCUGAGACCUGAUGCCGAGCCGAUUGUGGUGAAGUGGAUGAUCCUAUGCUGUCGAGAAAAGCCUCUAGCGAGUUUCAUGGCGGCCCGUACCCUAAACCGACUCAGGUGGUCAGGUAGAGAAUACCGAGGCGUUCGGGUGAACUAUGGUUAAGGAACUCGGCAAAAUGCCCCCGUAACUUCGGGAGAAGGGGGGCCAUGUCUGGUGAUGAGUCUUGCACUCUGAGCUGGGUGUGGCCGCAGAGACCAGCGAGAAGCGACUGUUUACUAAAAACACAGGUCCGUGCGAAGCCGUAAGGCGAUGUAUACGGACUGACGCCUGCCCGGUGCUGGAACGUUAAGGGGACCGGUUAGUCACAUUUCGGUGUGGCGAAGCUGAGAACUUAAGCGCCAGUAAACGGCGGUGGUAACUAUAACCAUCCUAAGGUAGCGAAAUUCCUUGUCGGGUAAGUUCCGACCUGCACGAAUGGCGUAACGACUUCUCGACUGUCUCAACCAUAGGCCCGGUGAAAUUGCAUUACGAGUAAAGAUGCUCGUUUCGCGCAGCAGGACGGAAAGACCCCGGGACCUUUACUACAGUUUGAUAUUGGUGUUCGGUUCGGCUUGUGUAGGAUAGGUGGGAGACUGUGAAGCAUGCACGCCAGUGUGUGUGGAGUCGUCGUUGAAAUACCACUCUGGUCGUGCUGGAUGUCUAACCUGGGUCCGUGAUCCGGAUCAGGGACAGUGUCUGAUGGGUAGUUUAACUGGGGCGGUUGCCUCCUAAAGAGUAACGGAGGCGCCCAAAGGUUCCCUCAGCCUGGUUGGUAAUCAGGUGUUGAGUGUAAGUGCACAAGGGAGCUUGACUGUGAGACCGACGGGUCGAGCAGGGACGAAAGUCGGGACUAGUGAUCCGGCGGUGGCUUGUGGAAGCGCCGUCGCUCAACGGAUAAAAGGUACCCCGGGGAUAACAGGCUGAUCUUCCCCAAGAGUCCAUAUCGACGGGAUGGUUUGGCACCUCGAUGUCGGCUCGUCGCAUCCUGGGGCUGGAGUCGGUCCCAAGGGUUGGGCUGUUCGCCCAUUAAAGCGGUACGCGAGCUGGGUUUAGAACGUCGUGAGACAGUUCGGUCCCUAUCCGCUGUGCGCGUAGGAAUAUUGAGAAGGGCUGUCCCUAGUACGAGAGGACCGGGACGGACGAACCUCUGGUGUGCCAGUUGUUCUGCCAAGGGCAUGGCUGGUUGGCUACGUUCGGGAGGGAUAACCGCUGAAAGCAUCUAAGCGGGAAGCCUGCUUCGAGAUGAGUAUUCCCACCUCCUUGAGAGGGUAAGGCUCCCAGUAGACGACUGGGUUGAUAGGCCGGAUAUGGAAGCCCUGUAAGGGGUGGAGUUGACCGGUACUAAUAGGCCGAGGGCUUGUCCUCAGUUG
rnacentral:rRNA from 1 species